UACGGGGGGGGCAAGCGUUGUUCGGAAUUACUGGGCGUAAAGGGUUUGUAGGUGGCUUGUUAAGUCAGACGUGAAAUCCCUCAGCUUAACUGGGGAACUGCGUCUGAGACUGGUGAGCUUGAGUGCAGGAGAGGAACGCGGAAUUCCUGGUGUAGCGGUGAAAUGCGCAGAUAUCAGGAGGAACACCGGUGGCGAAGGCGGGUCUCUGGGCCGAUACUGACGCUGAGGAGCGAAAGCGUGGGGAGCGAACAGG
rnacentral:rRNA from 1 species